rnacentral:rRNA from 1 species
UACGUAGGGUGCAAGCGUUGUCCGGAAUUAUUGGGCGUAAAGAGCUUGUAGGCGGUUUGUCGCGUCUGCUGUGAAAUUUCGGGGCUCAACCCCGAACUUGCAGUGGGUACGGGCAGACUAGAGUGUGGUAGGGGAGACUGGAAUUCCUGGUGUAGCGGUGAAAUGCGCAGAUAUCAGGAGGAACACCAAUGGCGAAGGCAGCUCUCUGGGACGGUACUGACGCUGAGACGCGAAAGCGUGGGGAGCGAACAGG